rnacentral:rRNA from 1 species
AUGAGCACCGCCAAGACGUCGUGGCCGGAGGUGGUGGGCUGGCCGGCGGCGCAGGCCGUGACUCAGGUCGGCACCGACAGGCCCGACGUGGCCAUCGAGGUGCUCCCGUCCGGCACCAGCGUGGCCCCUGGGUUCAACGGAGAGCGGGUCCGUGUCUUCUUCGACGGGACCGGCAGCGUCGCCGCCACUCCAUCGGUUGGUUAA